rnacentral:rRNA from 1 species
AUGGGAAUGUCACGAACAAGUUUCCAUGGAGACUGCCAAAAUAUCAUCAAGAGAUUUGUUGGGUUGCUCGAGGAGGUGUAUGGCAAGGCUGCGUACAAAGCGAGCAAGCAGCCUAACAGGGUGAAUAUUGCAAAGAGGCCGACUUUUAUCGAUGUUCCAAAGCAAGUGAAUAAUGAUUGUGGUUUCUUCACCGUGAAGUUCUGCUCUACGUAUGAUGGCGAUGAGCUUGUUGAAGAUAUCGGUGAUGUGAAAGCUGCUGCAGAUGACUGGAAGGCCGAGUUCAUGAACACUCUAGUCUUUAGUGAGAAGAAUGAAAUUGUGGGUGCAGAGCUUCCUGCCGAGAUCCGGUCAUUGAGCCUAUGA